GACGAACCGUGCGAACGUUGUUCGGAUUCAUUGGGCUUAAAGGGCGCGUAGGCGGCCGCUCAAGUCGGGGGUGAAAUCUUUCAGCUCAACUGGAAAAUAGCCUCCGAUACUGGGCGGCUGGAGGGAGAUAGGGGUGCGCGGAACUUCCGGUGGAGCGGUGAAAUGCGUAGAUAUCGGAAGGAACGCCGGUGGCGAAAGCGGCGCACUGGAUCUCAUCUGACGCUGAGGCGCGAAAGCCAGGGGAGCAAACGGG
rnacentral:rRNA from 1 species